rnacentral:rRNA from 1 species
UCCCAGACUCCUACGGGAGGCAGCAGUGGGGAAUAUUGCACAAUGGGGGAAACCCUGAUGCAGCGACGCCGCGUGAGUGAAGAAGUAUUUCGGUAUGUAAAGCUCUAUCAGCAGGGGAGAAAAUGACGGUACCUGACCAAGAAGCCCCGGCUAACUACGUGCCAGCAGCCGCGGUAAUACGUAGGGGGCAAGCGUUAUCCGGAUUUACUGGGUGUAAAGGGAGCGUAGACGGUAAUGCAAGUCUGGAGUGAAAUGCAGGGGCUCAACCCCUGAACUGCUUUGGAAACUGUAUGACUGGAGUGCAGGAGAGGUAAGUGGAAUUCCUAGUGUAGCGGUGAAAUGCGUAGAUAUUAGGAGGAACACCAGUGGCGAAGGCGGCUUACUGGACUGUAACUGACGUUGAGGCUCGAAAGCGUGGGGAGCAAACAGGAUUAGAUACCCUUGUA